rnacentral:lncRNA from 1 species
GGUCCGGCAAGGAUUACCCUUAACAAGACCGGUGACCAUUACUUCAUUUGCAGUGUCCCCGGUCAUUGUUCCGCCGGCCAAAAGCUCAAGGUUGAAGUUCGAACUGGUAACACCACCGGUGGCGUUGCUCCGUCGCCGCCUGUAACUCCAAGCACCACCACUUUUACAGUGGGUGACUCUACUGGUUGGCGUGUCCCUACCAAUGAUGAUUUUUAUGAGGAUUGGGCUGAUCAUAAACACUUCGUUGUUGGGGAUGUUUUAGGUCAGCUUUUAAAUUUAAAAUUUUUGAUAUUAAUUAUGAUAUGUAAAUGUAGUUUGAUAUAACUGUUUGAUGUUUUCUUCUUUUCUUGCAGUGUUUAAUUUUACGACCGGACAGCAUAAUGUUGCAGAGGUGACUGAAGAUGGUUACGACGACUGCAACGCUGCAAAUGCCAUAUCUACUUUGACCACCGGUCCGGCAAGGAUUACCCUUAACAAGACCGGUGACAAUUACUUCAUUUGCAGUGUCCCCGGUCAUUGUUCCGCCGGCCAAAAGCUCAAGGUUGAAGUUCGAACUGGUAACACCACCGGUGGCGUUGCUCCGUCGCCGCCUGUAACUCCAAGCACCACCACUUUUACGGUGGGUGACUCUACUGGUUGGCGUGUCCCUACCAAUAAUGAUGAUUUUUAUGAGGAUUGGGCUGAUCAUAAAGACUUCGUUGUUGGGGAUGUUUUAGGUGAGCU